UUAAGCGACUAAGCGUACACGGUGGAUGCCCUGGCAGUCAGAGGCGAUGAAGGACGUGCUAAUCUGCGAUAAGCGUCGGUAAGGUGAUAUGAACCGUUAUAACCGGCGAUUUCCGAAUGGGGAAACCCAGUGUGAUUCGUCACACUAUCAUUAACUGAAUCCAUAGGUUAAUGAGGCGAACCGGGGGAACUGAAACAUCUAAGUACCCCGAGGAAAAGAAAUCAACCGAGAUUCCCCCAGUAGCGGCGAGCGAACGGGGAGCAGCCCAGAGCCUGAAUCAGUGUGUGUGUUAGUGGAAGCGUCUGGAAAGGCGCGCGAUACAGGGUGACAGCCCCGUACACAAAAAUGCACAUAUUGUGAGCUCGAUGAGUAGGGCGGGACACGUGGUAUCCUGUCUGAAUAUGGGGGGACCAUCCUCCAAGGCUAAAUACUCCUGACUGACCGAUAGUGAACCAGUACCGUGAGGGAAAGGCGAAAAGAACCCCGGCGAGGGGAGUGAAAAAGAACCUGAAACCGUGUACGUACAAGCAGUGGGAGCACGCUUAGGCGUGUGACUGCGUACCUUUUGUAUAAUGGGUCAGCGACUUAUAUUCUGUAGCAAGGUUAACCGAAUAGGGGAGCCGAAGGGAAACCGAGUCUUAACUGGGCGUUAAGUUGCAGGGUAUAGACCCGAAACCCGGUGAUCUAGCCAUGGGCAGGUUGAAGGUUGGGUAACACUAACUGGAGGACCGAACCGACUAAUGUUGAAAAAUUAGCGGAUGACUUGUGGCUGGGGGUGAAAGGCCAAUCAAACCGGGAGAUAGCUGGUUCUCCCCGAAAGCUAUUUAGGUAGCGCCUCGUGAAUUCAUCUCCGGGGGUAGAGCACUGUUUCGGCAAGGGGGUCAUCCCGACUUACCAACCCGAUGCAAACUGCGAAUACCGGAGAAUGUUAUCACGGGAGACACACGGCGGGUGCUAACGUCCGUCGUGAAGAGGGAAACAACCCAGACCGCCAGCUAAGGUCCCAAAGUCAUGGUUAAGUGGGAAACGAUGUGGGAAGGCCCAGACAGCCAGGAUGUUGGCUUAGAAGCAGCCAUCAUUUAAAGAAAGCGUAAUAGCUCACUGGUCGAGUCGGCCUGCGCGGAAGAUGUAACGGGGCUAAACCAUGCACCGAAGCUGCGGCAGCGACGCUUAUGCGUUGUUGGGUAGGGGAGCGUUCUGUAAGCCUGUGAAGGUGUGCUGUGAGGCAUGCUGGAGGUAUCAGAAGUGCGAAUGCUGACAUAAGUAACGAUAAAGCGGGUGAAAAGCCCGCUCGCCGGAAGACCAAGGGUUCCUGUCCAACGUUAAUCGGGGCAGGGUGAGUCGACCCCUAAGGCGAGGCCGAAAGGCGUAGUCGAUGGGAAACAGGUUAAUAUUCCUGUACUUGGUGUUACUGCGAAGGGGGGACGGAGAAGGCUAUGUUGGCCGGGCGACGGUUGUCCCGGUUUAAGCGUGUAGGCUGGUUUUCCAGGCAAAUCCGGAAAAUCAAGGCUGAGGCGUGAUGACGAGGCACUACGGUGCUGAAGCAACAAAUGCCCUGCUUCCAGGAAAAGCCUCUAAGCAUCAGGUAACAUCAAAUCGUACCCCAAACCGACACAGGUGGUCAGGUAGAGAAUACCAAGGCGCUUGAGAGAACUCGGGUGAAGGAACUAGGCAAAAUGGUGCCGUAACUUCGGGAGAAGGCACGCUGAUAUGUAGGUGAAGCGACUUGCUCGUGGAGCUGAAAUCAGUCGAAGAUACCAGCUGGCUGCAACUGUUUAUUAAAAACACAGCACUGUGCAAACACGAAAGUGGACGUAUACGGUGUGACGCCUGCCCGGUGCCGGAAGGUUAAUUGAUGGGGUCAGCGCAAGCGAAGCUCUUGAUCGAAGCCCCGGUAAACGGCGGCCGUAACUAUAACGGUCCUAAGGUAGCGAAAUUCCUUGUCGGGUAAGUUCCGACCUGCACGAAUGGCGUAAUGAUGGCCAGGCUGUCUCCACCCGAGACUCAGUGAAAUUGAACUCGCUGUGAAGAUGCAGUGUACCCGCGGCAAGACGGAAAGACCCCGUGAACCUUUACUAUAGCUUGACACUGAACAUUGAGCCUUGAUGUGUAGGAUAGGUGGGAGGCUUGGAAGUGUGGACGCCAGUCUGCAUGGAGCCGACCUUGAAAUACCACCCUUUAAUGUUUGAUGUUCUAACGUUGACCCGUAAUCCGGGUUGCGGACAGUGUCUGGUGGGUAGUUUGACUGGGGCGGUCUCCUCCUAAAGAGUAACGGAGGAGCACGAAGGUUGGCUAAUCCUGGUCGGACAUCAGGAGGUUAGUGCAAUGGCAUAAGCCAGCUUGACUGCGAGCGUGACGGCGCGAGCAGGUGCGAAAGCAGGUCAUAGUGAUCCGGUGGUUCUGAAUGGAAGGGCCAUCGCUCAACGGAUAAAAGGUACUCCGGGGAUAACAGGCUGAUACCGCCCAAGAGUUCAUAUCGACGGCGGUGUUUGGCACCUCGAUGUCGGCUCAUCACAUCCUGGGGCUGAAGUAGGUCCCAAGGGUAUGGCUGUUCGCCAUUUAAAGUGGUACGCGAGCUGGGUUUAGAACGUCGUGAGACAGUUCGGUCCCUAUCUGCCGUGGGCGCUGGAGAACUGAGGGGGGCUGCUCCUAGUACGAGAGGACCGGAGUGGACGCAUCACUGGUGUUCGGGUUGUCAUGCCAAUGGCACUGCCCGGUAGCUAAAUGCGGAAGAGAUAAGUGCUGAAAGCAUCUAAGCACGAAACUUGCCCCGAGAUGAGUUCUCCCUGACUCCUUGAGAGUCCUGAAGGAACGUUGAAGACGACGACGUUGAUAGGCCGGGUGUGUAAGCGCAGCGAUGCGUUGAGCUAACCGGUACUAAUGAACCGUGAGGCUUAACCUU
rnacentral:rRNA from 1 species